rnacentral:rRNA from 1 species
AGCCUGAACGCUGGCGGCGUGGCUAAGACAUGCAAGUCGCACGGAGGUAGCAAUACCUUAGUGGCGAACGGGUGAGUAAAGUAUCGCUAACGUACCCUUUAGUCCGGGAUAGCCAGGGGAAACUCUGGGUAAUACCGGGAAACAUUCUCUUUUCGCAUGAUGAGAGACUCAAAGGAGCAAUCCGCUGAAGGAGCGGGCGAUAUCGUAUCAGCUAGUUGGUGAGGUAACGGCUCACCAAGGCGACGACGCGUAGCCGGACUGAGAGGUCGGUCGGCCACAUUGGGACUGAGACACUGCCCAGACUCCUACGGGGGGCUGCAGUAACGAAUCUUCCGCAAUGCACGCAAGUGUGACGGAGCGACGCCGCGUGUGGGACGAAGUCCUUCGGGAUGUAAACCACUGUCAGGGGUUACCAAGUUCUGAGGAGCCCCAGAGGAAGGCACGGCUAACUCUGUCGCCAGCAGCCGCGGUAA